UACGGAAGGGGCAAGCGUUGUUCGGAAUCAUUGGGCGUAAAGGGCGCGUAGGUGGUUCUGUAUGUCUAUCGUGAAAGCAUACAGCUCAACUGUAUUUUGUCGGUAGAAACUGCAGGACUUGAGGCUGGGAGGGGCUGGUGGAAUUCCCUGUGUAGCGGUGAAAUGCGUAGAGAUGGGGGGGAACACUCGUGGCGAAGGCGGCCAGCUAGACCAGUUCUGACACUGAGGCGCGACAGCGUGGGGAGCAAACAGG
rnacentral:rRNA from 1 species